UACGAAGGGGGCUAGCGUUGCUCGGAAUCACUGGGCGUAAAGCGCACGUAGGCGGCUUUUUUAAGUCAGGGGUGAAAUCCUGGAGCUCAACUCCAGAACUGCCUUUGAUACUGAGAAGCUUGAGUCCGGGAGAGGUGAGUGGAACUGCGAGUGUAGAGGUGAAAUUCGUAGAUAUCUGCAGGAACACCCGUGGCGAAAGCGGCGCGCUGGACCACUACUGACGCUGAGGAACGAAAGCUAGGGGAGCAAACAGG
rnacentral:rRNA from 1 species